GACGAACGCUGGCGGCGUGCUUAACACAUGCAAGUCGAGCGAUGAAGCUCCUUCGGGAGUGGAUUAGCGGCGGACGGGAGAGUAACACGUGGGUAACCUGCCUCAUAGAGGGGAAUAGCCUUCCGAAAGGAAGAUUAGUACCGCAUAAGAUUGUAGUACCGCAUGGUAUAGCAAUUAAAGGAGCAAUCCGUUAUGAGAUGGACCCGCGUCGCAUUAGCUAGUUGGUGAGGUAACGGCUCACCAAGGCGGCGAUGCGUAGCCGACCUGAGAGGGUGAUCGGCCACAUUGGGACUGAGACACGGCCCAGACUCCUACGGGAGGCAGCAGUGGGGAAUAUUGCACAAUGGGGGAAACCCUGAUGCAGCAACGCCGCGUGAGUGAUGACGGUCUUCGGAUUGUAAAACUCUGUCUUCAGGGACGAUAAUGACGGUACCUGAGGAGGAAGCCACGGCUAACUACGUGCCAGCCGCCGCGGUAACAC
rnacentral:rRNA from 1 species